CCUACGGGUGACAGCAGUAGGGAAUAUUGCUCAAUGGGGGAAACCCUGAAGCAGCAACGCCGCGUGGAGGAUGAAGGUUUUCGGAUUGUAAACUCCUUUUGUUAGAGAAGAUAAUGACGGUAUCUAACGAAUAAGCCCCGGCUAACUCCGGGCCAGCAGCCGCGGUCAUACGGAGGGUGCAAGCGUUACUCGAAAUCACUGGGCGUAAAGGGCGCGGAGGCGGGAUGGCAAGUCAGAUGUGAAAUCCCAUGGCUUAACCAUAGAACUGCAUUUGAAACUGGUAUUCUAGAGUAUGGGAGAGGUAGGUGGAAUUCUUGGUGUAGGGGUAAAAUCCGUAGAGAUCAAGAGGAAUACUCAUUGCGAAGGCGACCUGCUAGAACAUAACUGACGCUGAUGCGCGAAAGCGUGGGGAGCAAACAGGAUUAGAUACCCUGGUAGUC
rnacentral:rRNA from 1 species